rnacentral:rRNA from 1 species
GACGAACGCUGGCGGCGUGCUUAACACAUGCAAGUCGAGCGAUGAAGCUCCUUCGGGAGUGGAUUAGCGGCGGACGGGUGAGUAGCACGUGGGUAACCUGCCUCAUAGAGGGGAAUAGCCUUCCGAAAGGAAGAUUAAUACCGCAUAAGAUUAUAGUUUCGCAUGAAACAGCAAUUAAAGGAGUAAUCCGCUAUGAGAUGGACCCGCGUCGCAUUAGCUAGCUGGUGAGGUAACGGCUCACCAAGGCGACGAUGCGUAGCCGACCUGAGAGGGGGAUCGGCAACAUUGGGACUGAGACACGGCCCAGACUCCGACGGGAGGCAGGAGUGGGGAAUAUUGCACAAUGGGGGAAACCCUGAUGCAGCAACGCCGCGUGAGUGAUGACGGUCUUCGGAUUGUAAAGCUCUGUCUUCAGGGACGAUAAUGACGGUACCUGAGGAGGAAGCCACGGCUAACUACGUGCCAGCCGCCGCAGUAAUAC